ensembl:snRNA U6 U6 spliceosomal RNA
UUACUUCAGUAGCACAUAUACUAAAACUGUAAUAACAUAGAGAAGAUUAGAGUAGUCCUGUGCAUGCAUGACACACAAAUUUGUGAAGUGCUCCAUAUUUUU